AUUGAACGCUGGCGGCAUGCCUUACACAUGCAAGUCGAACGGUAACAGGUCUUCGGAUGCUGACGAGUGGCGAACGGGUGAGUAAUACAUCGGAACGUGCCUAGUAGUGGGGGAUAACUACUCGAAAGAGUGGCUAAUACCGCAUGAGAUCUACGGAUGAAAGCAGGGGAUCGCAAGACCUUGUGCUACUAGAGCGGCCGAUGGCAGAUUAGGUAGUUGGUGGGAUAAAAGCUUACCAAGCCGACGAUCUGUAGCUGGUCUGAGAGGACGAUCAGCCACACGGGGACUGAGAAACGGCCCAGACUCCUACGGGAGGCAGCAGUGGGGAAUUUUGGCCAAUGGGCGCAAGCCUGACCCAGCAAUGCCGCGUGCAGGAUGAAGGCCUUCGGGUUGUAAACUGCUUUUGUACGGAACGAAAAGCCCCGGGUUAAUACCCUGGGGUCAUGACGGUACCGUAAGAAUAAGCACCGGCUAACUACGUGCCAGCAGCCGCAGUAA
rnacentral:rRNA from 1 species